rnacentral:rRNA from 1 species
AGUGAACGCUGGCGGUAGGCCUAACACAUGCAAGUCGAACGGCAGCACAGGAGAGCUUGCUCUCUGGGUGGCGAGUGGCGGACGGGUGAGGAAUACAUCGGAAUCUACUCUGUCGUGGGGGAUAACGUAGGGAAACUUACGCUAAUACCGCAUACGACCUACGGGUGAAAGCAGGGGACCUUCGGGCCUUGCGCGAUUGAAUGAGCCGAUGUCGGAUUAGCUAGUUGGCGGGGGAAAGGCCCACCAAGGCGACGAUCCGUAGCUGGUCUGAGAGGAUGAUCAGCCACACUGGACCUGAGACACUGUCCAGACUCCUACGGGAGGCAGCAGGGGGGAAUAUUGGACAAUGGGCGCAAGCCUGAUCCAGCCAUACCGCGUGGGUGAAGAAGGCCUUCGGGUUGUAAAGCCCUUUUGUUGGGAAAGAAAUCCAGCUGGCUAAUACCCGGUUGGGAUGACGGUACCCAAAGAAUAAGCACCGGCUAACUUCGUGCCAGCCGCCGCAGUAA